AAUCGUUCUUAUUGUCAAGCAGACAGGAGUGUUUUGAAAGAAGCGCAAUUGUGAUGGGAUAGCUAAACAAAGAUAAACCUGUUUUCAAAUAACAAUCAUAUACAAAUUAGGGGACGAUAAUGUUAGUCCCGUAAAAAAGUGGAUUGAGCCCAUCGGUUGAUCAAUUUUCCACGUGCGGCAGAAGAAGGCGAUGUGAACGACUAAUGCCUUACGGGAACUUUAACGUGGGCUCGUCACACAGCCAAAAUAUCCACACAACUUCCAAGGACCCGCCAUUAUUCUUUGUAAUAAUGCGAUUCAACUUCAAAAUCGCCCUACUAAUUCUGAUUACUGUCUCACUGGCCACCCUGGUCAUACUGUACUCGAUCUGCAACAAGACACAGUCAACAUCACUGCCCGAGCAAUCGAACAUUGUGAAACAGCAACAAACCGAAGUAUUGGACAUUGAUUGCGAUAUCAAUGGAGAAUAUCUGGUGAAGUGCAAGCGAGAAGGUCCGGAAGUAUUCCUGCCAUUCGCCUUCUUGGAGGAGUAUUUUCAGGUCUAUGGAAAAUUAGCGGGGCCGGACCGCUUUGAGUGGUCGCACAGCUACAGCAAAAUCUACCAUCCAAAAACUAAGUACGACCCCAUGGGGGUUUUUAUGUACUUUGAGAACUACAACGUGGAAGGCCGCGACCGAAUGAAGUGUGUGAGCGCAACUGAAGGUGUCCCGGUGUCCAGCCAAUGGGACAGCGGGGGCUACUACUACCCCAUUCAGAUUGCCCAGUUCGGAUUGGCGCAUUAUUCGAAAAAUCUUACUGAACCUGAGCCGCGAAUCUCCACCCUGGAGAACGGCGAUAAGGAGAUGGUGAAAUGGUUGAUACCAGACACGGCGAUUGUUGAAAGAAACCUAAACCAUAAUCGCAAAUCGAACGUGCUGGAGUUCAGAACGAGCGAAAACUACAACGAGGGAAUCAGAAUGAAGCUGGAUCAUGUGCUGGACUUUGUCAUGAAAGUCGACGUGCUUCUGAACGGCAACAGCAGCCUGACUGUUGUUCUGCAGAAUCGAGAAACCAAAGACGCUUAUUUUCUACACUACAUCACCAGCGAUAUUUUCAUUACUACCCAAGACAGCAAUAUCUACCAUGGGUUGGGGACCAUUUCCGAAUGGCGCCGGCUCACCAGAGACUUAAUCGUCGAUCUACACAAGGGCUUGAACUACGCCAGCAAGGACAAAUCGAAAUUCAAAAUCGCGAGGCAAAAACUGAAAGUCAUCAGUAUAAUGUUGAGGGGAUCGGGGGCGAUCGACAACUUGACUCUGGCCUCUUCUGAGCACGUUCAGCAAUUUUACGAUGCAGCCGAGUGGUUUGUCAGGUACCAAGAUGCGGAUACUGGCGGUUGGGCCAUUCCCGUUAAGCGCACUUUGGCACCAGGAUUUUUGGUGCUGGAACCGGGGUGGUACUCAGCCAUGGGGCAAGGCCAUGCCCUUUCCGUCUUAGCCAGAGCGUUUUACCACUCUGGCGGCGAUCAGCGCUACUUGAAUGCGGCUUUGAACGGCCUGAAACCAUUCAGAGUUGCUAGUGCAGAUGGUGGUGUGCUUGCUACAUUCUUAAACAAGUUCCACUGGUACGAAGAAUAUCCCACGCAACCAUCAUCGUUCGUUCUCAACGGCUUCAUCUACUCAAUUCUGGGCCUCUAUGAUUUGAUGACAAUCGCCCCAGUGGACCAGGCGCAGGAGGCGGAAUUUCUCUACAAUGAAGGCAUGGCCACGCUUAAGAGCAUGCUGCCGUUCUUCGACAUGGGCAGCGUUACUAGCUACGACUUGCGGCACGUCACGCUGGGCAUUGCGCCUAAUUUAGCAAGAUGGGACUACCAUGCUACCCACAUUAAUCAGCUCCUGCUUCUGGCUACCAUUGACGAUGAUCCGCUGUUUAAAGCGACCGCACAGCGCUGGAUCGGUUACAUGAAGGGUAAAAGAGCUGGGCAUAAUUGAACGGGAUGGUUCAACUUGGAUUGGAUGGAAUAUGUGAGAACCGCCCUGAUGAAACUGUUAUUCCUCCAUUAGAUGCCAAUUCACUGAAAAUCAAUAUCAGCAACUCCAGUGCUCCGAAUGAACUGCAUCUAAUUUCUACUUCAAGACUGAGAAAUGUAAAAAUUAAGCAAAACUCAUCACUCACCAUGACGGACCAAUUGAUCUUGUCCUCAAACUCUCUAGUUUAAGACACGUUUCCGAAACAACACCGCUUAACGAAAAAAGCACGUUCGUGUUUGCGGCGUGCCUGUGUGAUCCCGAACUGCAUAAACGCUUUUGACAAUGUUUUCUCCUUAGAUAUACGUAUUAAAAUAAAUCCAGAGUCAAUAUUAAAGUUAGUUAGUUGAAUUGACUUCAGGUAGAGAAUUUCUUGGGACUGUCGUUUGGAAUAGGGGCGCAGCCCCGUUCUGGAUACUGAUCCCCGCUUAGAAUAGGCUAAAGUACAACAUAGACGUUGCGUCUUGGAAAUAAUAGUAUUUUUACACUUGCAAUGAAAAUGUAUUCUAGUCACACCGAUUUUUAGAGACCCGUGCCUAAUUUUAUCGACUCGUAUUCGUUCCUUUCUCGUUUUAAAGUAUUGCCGAUUCGAGCUGAAUUUCUGAAAACCUAAUCGUGGUUAGAUAAUCGUAUUAUAGAUUUUGUACUGUUGUAAAAAUGAAGGAACUUCCUGUACGUUUAAUGGAUAAUACUAAGUGAUUAUGUACUUAUAUAACGGCUAGAGUAGUGGUCGUUUUCGGGAAGUGCACCGAUUUUCUACUGGAAGCCUUAAGCUUCCUUUUAGGCACAGUUCAGCAUUGGCAAGCUCCAAGUAUUUCUUGCUGCCUGAUUGUUAUUGACUCAUUUUUGACUGUAUUCCGACUAGUCGGACAAGGAGUGCAUGUACUUACAAAUAUUUAUCUUAUUGUAUUUUCCUAAUUUUAGUGGCAGUGAUUUGUGUGGUCGGAAUAUCGUCAAAAUUGUUGUUUUUAUUGAUCUAUACAGUACCCGAGAGCGGUUAACUGCCGGAUUGUGUCAUUAUCCAGUUGCACUGGCCCCAAAAGCAAAUUCAAUCAUUAACAGAGCUUACUAGUUGCCUACCAAAUCCAAAAACUUGCCAUGUUAGUCCCUGCGGAUUUUCCUGCUAGAAACAAGGGGGAGCCGCGCUCUUUUCGAGCUGUUUUAUGUACAAAUUGUUGAUAGAAUAAGUAUUUUGUACAUUGUAGACCCGUCCCACCGUUGUAAAUCCGAAACCGGACUGCAUAGCGCAUAGACAGUAUUUAUUAGAAUUAUUUUUAUUUAUUUCAGUUUACUUAACCAAUGCGCCUGACUAACGUUUAUUGAAUAAUAUAAUACUAUACAAAUUUCAAGUGACUGUGACAAUAAAGUUAGGAUGAUUAUAACCCGA
rnacentral:misc_RNA from 1 species